GAGAGGGGGAGCCUGCGGAGGAAGAGGGGUAGGGAGAGGAAGAGGAAGAAGUAGAGGUAGACCUGGAGGAGGACGUGGACAAAGAAGACGAGGACCAAAUUUAUCAGAUGAGAUUCGAGCAACAUUGGUUGACCAUGUUGUAAACCAUGGUUUGACAUUGAGAGAGGCUGGACAGAGAGUUCAGCCCAACCUCAGCAGAUGUACUGUUGCAACAGUAAUUUGGACAUUUCGACAAGAGCACAGGAUUGAGGGUCAAGAACGUCAAGGAGGAAGGGGCUCCAUAUUCUCAGAGGAACAAGAGAGAGCUAUCGUAAAUGUGGUUUUGGCCAAUAAUGCGAUAUGCCUCAGAGAAAUUCAAACAAACAUCCUCCAGGACCACACAGUUUUCAAUAAUAUCCAUCAGGUCUUUCUACCAACACUGGGGUGAAUCCUUAAAAAACAUCACAUAGAGAUGAAACAACUCUACCGAGUGCCAUUUGAAAGAAAUUCUGAGAAAGUAAAAGACCUGCGGCAUGAAUAUGUGGAGAGAGUUUUGCAAAUGGAUGCUGAUGCAAUCCCACAUAGAUUUAUCCUCAUAGAUGAGGCUGGGUUUAACCUGACAAAAGUAAGAAGAAGAGGGAGAAACAUCAUUGGCCACCAAGCUAUUUUGAAUGUCCCGAGCCAACAUGGUGGUAACAUCACAAUGCGCUGCAAUCAUGCAGAAUGGGUCCUCCACCACCAUGCCAACUUAGGUCCUUACAACACGGCCCACAUACUCACAUUUUUAGACAGACUACACAACAUUGUCACAGCAGAAGACCAAAUGGAUGCAGAGCAGAUGAGAUACAUUGCCAUCUGGGACAAUUUAUCUUUCCACCGAUCUGCUCUGGUCCAAAACUGGUUUCAUCAGCAUCCACAAUUUUCACUCCAGUACUCUCCACCAUACUCUCCCUUCCUUAACCCCAUUGAGAUGUUUUUCUUGGCAUGGCAGUGGAAGGUUUACGAUCUCCAGCCCUAUGUCAGGAUACCCCACAUUCAAGCCAUGGAGUGGGCCUGCGACCAAAUUGAUGCAGGGUCUGUGCCAUUCAAGAAGAUUUUUUUUUCAUUCAUGCUUUCUUUUUUGUCUCCACAAAUGUUUUUGCUGUGUUUAUGUACUAUAUUCUAUUUAGAAUAUGUUCUGUUCUGAUUUUCAGUGCAAAAUGCAACCUUUGGAAAUGCAUGGAUGUAUUGACUGAUUUUACAAUGUGGAGAGAAAUAAAUAUUUUCAUCAGUGUGCAGU